AACACAAAAUAAGAUAAAAAAAAAUCCAGCAGCCAUUUUCUUCCCAAACUAGCCAAAACAUUGAGAAAGAGAGAGAGAGAAGAGGAACCUCCAUGGAAGCCUUGGUUCAAGCUUGAGUUCACCCAUCAUUUCACUAUAAAACCCUAUCUUCCCUUUACAAAAAUUGAUCCUUACCAUUAGCACAAUAUCUGGGCAGCAAUUUGAAGAGGAAAAAGUGAAGUUAUACCUUGGAAAAAUUCUGCACUCAAGAGGUUAGUGCCAUAUCUCUCUCUCCCUCUUAUUGUUUCAUGCUAAGAGAUCAAAUUCAACUAAGAAUUUUGGAAAAAGAAAGCAAAAUAUGCAUGUUAUAGCCACACUAAAUUUCAGCAGCCCUAAGGUACUAUAGGGUUUCCAUGAUUCAAGUGAAUUAUAAUUGUAUAUUGAUGUCAUUGAACAUGGUUUUGAUGAUUAGAACACUUGAAUGUUUGUUGUUUGAGCAAAUUAAAAUUGUAGAGUUAGGGUUUGGGGAAAACCUAGGGUUUGCUCAUGUGUUGAUGAAUGGAAGUUCUAAUGGUCAAAUUAGUGACCAUUUGGUUGUAUAUGAUGAGAAAAUGAAGUGAAUUAUGGCUUUAGAAUUAAGUUUGGGUGUACUGCCUUGAGUGACCUGCAGGGCU
rnacentral:misc_RNA from 1 species